GGUUACUGCUAUCGGUGUUCGCCUAAGCCAUGCGAGUCAUAUGUUCGUAAGAACAUGGCGUACUGCUCAAUAACACGUGGAUAACCUGCCCUUGGGUCCGGCAUAACCCCGGGAAACUGGGGAUAAUUCCGGAUAACGCACAUAUGCUGGAAUGCUUUAUGCGUAAAAUGGAUUCGUCUGCCCAAGGAUGGGUCUGCGGCCUAUCAGGUAGUAGUGGGUGUAAUGUACCUACUAGCCUACGACGGGUACGGGUUGUGGGAGCAAGAGCCCGGAGAUGGAUUCUGAGACAUGAAUCCAGGCCCUACGGGGCGCAGCAGGCGCGAAAACUUUACAAUGCGGGAAACCGUGAUAAGGGGACACCGAGUGCCAGCAUCCUAUGCUGGCUGUCCGGGUGUGUAAAAUACACCUGUUAGCAAGGGCCGGGCAAGACCGGUGCCAGCCGCCGCGGUAACACCGGCGGCCCGAGUGGUGAUCGUGAUUAUUGGGUCUAAAGGGUCCGUAGCCGGUUUGGUCAGUCUUCCGGGAAAUCUGACAGCUUAACUGUUAGGCUUUCGGAGGAUACUGCCAGACUUGGAACCGGGAGAGGUAAGAGGUACUACAGGGGUAGGAGUGAAAUCUUGUAAUCCCUGUGGGACCACCUGUGGCGAAGGCGUCUUACCAGAACGGGUUCGACGGUGAGGGACGAAAGCUGGGGGCACGAACCGGAUUAGAUACCCGGGUAGUCCCAGCCGUAAACGAUGCUCGCUAGGUGUCAGGCAUGGCGCGACCGUGUCUGGUGCCGCAGGGAAGCCGUGAAGCGAGCCACCUGGGAAGUACGGCCGCAAGGCUGAAACUUAA
rnacentral:rRNA from 1 species